GGCUUCAUAGCUCAGUGGUAGAGCAUUUGAACUGGAAUCACAAAGGUCAUGGGUUCGAAUCCCGUUGGAGCCU
rnacentral:tRNA from 1 species